AGGGAUUUAGCUCAGCGGUAUAAGCACCUGCCUGGCAAGCAAGUCGUGAGUUCAAUCCCUG
rnacentral:tRNA from 1 species